rnacentral:rRNA from 1 species
CCCUUAGAUGCUCUGGGCCGCACGCGCGCUACACUGGUCGAUGCAACGAGUUUCUUUCCUUGGCCGACAGGCCUGGGCAAUCUUUGAACAUCGAUCGUGAUCGGGAUAGAUUCUUGUAAUUUUUGAUCUUAAACGAGGAAUUCCUAGUAAACGCAAGUCAUCAGCUUGCAUUGAUUACGUCCCUGCCCUUUGUACACACCGCCCGUCGCACCUACCGAUCGAAGGUAAUGAUGAGCCCUCAGGAUUGUGGCCUCGUCGCGUCAGCGUCUUGGCUGCGAGAAUCUGUGCAAAUCCCUACCUUUAGAGGAAGGUGAAGUCGUANCA